CUUUGGGAGAGAUGAAGGUUGGAUGAGGUCACAAUGGUAGGGUCCUCAUGACAGUAUCACUGCCCUCAUAAGAAGAUGAAGAGACUUCCCCCCACCCCUGGGCACAUUGAGAAGGCAGCCGCUGCAACCCAGGAAGUGGGCUCUCGCCAGGAACCAACCUUGCCAGCACCUUGAUCUUGGACUUACAGUUUCCAGAAGUCCAGUGGCUCAUACCUGUAAUCCCAACACUCUGAGAGGCCAAAGCAGGAGGAUUGCUUGAGACCAGGAGUUGGACAUCAGCCUGGGCAACAUAGUGAGACCCCAUCGCUACAAAAAAAGUUUUAACUAGCCAGGCCCUGGUGAUGUACACCUGUAGUCCCAGCUACUUGGGAGGCCAAAGCAGGAGGCUAACUUGAACCCAGGAGGUUGAAGUUACAGUGCACUGUGAUUGCGCCACUACAUUCCAACCUGAGCAACAGAGUGAAAGCUGGUCUCUUAAAAAAUAAAUAAAUAAAUAAAUAAAUAAAUAAAAUUAAUGUAUGGCUUUUUAAAGGGAAGA
rnacentral:lncRNA from 1 species